CCUACGGGGGGCAGCAGUGAGGAAUAUUGGUCAAUGGACGAGAGUCUGAACCAGCCAAGUAGCGUGAAGGAUGACGGCCCUAUGGGUUGUAAACUUCUUUUAUAUGGGAAUAAAAUGUUCCACGUGUGGGAUUUUGUAUGUACCAUAUGAAUAAGGAUCGGCUAACUCCGUGCCAGCAGCCGCGGUAAGACGGAGGAUCCGAGCGUUAUCCGGAGUUAUUGGGUUGAAAGGGAGCGUAGGUGGAUUGUUAAGUCAGUUGUGCAAGUUUGCGGCUCAACCGUAAAAUUGCAGUUGAACCUGGCAGUCUUGAGUACAGUCGCGGUGGGCGUCCUUCGUGGUGUAGCGGU
rnacentral:rRNA from 1 species